rnacentral:rRNA from 1 species
GUUAAGCGACUAAGCGUACACGGUGGAUGCCCUGGCAGUCAGAGGCGAUGAAGGACGUGCUAAUCUGCGAUAAGCGUCGGUAAGGUGAUAUGAACCGUUAUAACCGGCGAUUUCCGAAUGGGGAAACCCAGUGUGUUUCGACACACUAUCAUUAACUGAAUCCAUAGGUUAAUGAGGCGAACCGGGGGAACUGAAACAUCUAAGUACCCCGAGGAAAAGAAAUCAACCGAGAUUCCCCCAGUAGCGGCGAGCGAACGGGGAGCAGCCCAGAGCCUGAAUCAGUGUGUGUGUUAGUGGAAGCGUCUGGAAAGGCGCGCGAUACAGGGUGACAGCCCCGUACACAAAAAUGCACAUGCUGUGAGCUCGAUGAGUAGGGCGGGACACGUGGUAUCCUGUCUGAAUAUGGGGGGACCAUCCUCCAAGGCUAAAUACUCCUGACUGACCGAUAGUGAACCAGUACCGUGAGGGAAAGGCGAAAAGAACCCCGGCGAGGGGAGUGAAAAAGAACCUGAAACCGUGUACGUACAAGCAGUGGGAGCACGCUUAGGCGUGUGACUGCGUACCUUUUGUAUAAUGGGUCAGCGACUUAUAUUCUGUAGCAAGGUUAACCGAAUAGGGGAGCCGAAGGGAAACCGAGUCUUAACUGGGCGUUAAGUUGCAGGGUAUAGACCCGAAACCCGGUGAUCUAGCCAUGGGCAGGUUGAAGGUUGGGUAACACUAACUGGAGGACCGAACCGACUAAUGUUGAAAAAU